GGGGAUGUAUUUUGGUUUCGACAGUAUCUUUGAAAUAUGAAUAGCGAGUAGUGGAUGGUCGCUUUGGCCACUAAAAAAAAGCGAAAUAAAAUUAAACGCUGAUAAAGAAUUAGCAUACGCUGCCUAGUUGCAACGUCGUCUUACUAUAAAGCCUACUGUUAUAGAUAAGGCGUCGAUUAAAGUAGGAAACAAAAUUAUCUUUUGCCUCAAAGAUAAUGGGUAUUAAGAGGCUACCAAAGUUUCAAGCGUGUUUAUUUGCAAGAAAUUGCGGGAAUUUUUAAUAAUAAACUACACUCGUAGAAGUUUGUAUGGAUAGGAUAUUGGACGAGGGUUCAAAUCCCUCCAUCUCCACCA
rnacentral:tmRNA from 1 species